rnacentral:rRNA from 1 species
UACGGAGGGGGCUAGCGUUGUUCGGAAUUACUGGGCGUAAAGCGCACGUAGGCGGCUUUGUAAGUUAGAGGUGAAAGCCCAGGGCUCAACCCUGGAAUUGCCUUUAAGACUGCAUCGCUUGAAUCAUGGAGAGGUGAGUGGAAUUCCGAGUGUAGAGGUGAAAUUCGUAGAUAUUCGGAAGAACACCAGUGGCGAAGGCGACUCACUGGACAUGUAUUGACGCUGAGGUGCGAAAAGCGUGGGGAGCCAA